CCUACGGGUGGCAGCAGUAGGGACUCUUCCACAAUGGACGCAAGCCUGAUGGAGCAAUGCCGCGUGAGUGAAGAAGGCCUUCGGCUCGUAAAGCUCUGUUGGUAGGGAAGAAAGACAGCAUCAGUAACUGGGCUCUAUCUGAUGGUAACUCCCCAGAAAGUCACGGCUAACUACGUGCCAGCAGCCGCGGUAAUACGUAGGUGGCGAGCGUUGUCCGGAUUGAUUGGGCGUAAAGGGGGUGCAGGCGGUGCAGCAAGUCUGGAGUGAAACGCAUGAGCUCAACCGAUGCAUGGCGUCGGAAACUGGUGGACUGGAGAGCAGGAGAGGGGGGUGGAACUCCAUGUGUAGCGGUAGAAUGCGUAGAUAUAUGGAAGAACACCAGUGGCGAAGGCGGCUGUCUGGUCUGCAGCUGACGCUGAGGCACGAAAGCGUGGGGAGCGAACAGGAUUAGAUACCCUUGUAGUC
rnacentral:rRNA from 1 species